rnacentral:tRNA from 1 species
AAGGGUAUGGCUCAGUGGUAGAGCACAUGCUUACCAUGCAUGAGGUCCUGGGUUUGAUCCCCAAUACCAUUA